UGCAAGUCGAACGGAAAGGCCCCUUCGGGGGUACUCGAGUGGCGAACGGGUGAGUAACACGUGGGCAAUCUGCCCUGCACUUCGGGAUAAGCCUGGGAAACUGGGUCUAAUACCGGAUAGGACCUUUAGGCGCAUGUCUUUAGGUGGAAAGCUUUUGCGGUGUGGGAUGGGCCCGCGGCCUAUCAGCUUGUUGGUGGGGUGAUGGCCUACCAAGGCGACGACGGGUAGCCGGCCUGAGAGGGUGUCCGGCCACACUGGGACUGAGAUACGGCCCAGACUCCUACGGGAGGCAGCAGUGGGGAAUAUUGCACAAUGGGCGCAAGCCUGAUGCAGCGACGCCGCGUGGGGGAUGACGGCCUUCGGGUUGUAAACCUCUUUCACCAUCGACGAAGGUCCGGGUUUUCUCGGAUUGACGGUAGGUGGAGAAGAAGCACCGGCCAACUACGUGCCAGCAGCCGCGGUAAUACGUAGGGUGCGAGCGUUGUCCGGAAUUACUGGGCGUAAAGAGCUCGUAGGUGGUUUGUCGCGUUGUUCGUGAAAUCUCACGGCUUAACUGUGAGCGUGCGGGCGAUACGGGCAGACUAGAGUACUGCAGGGGAGACUGGAAUUCCUGGUGUAGCGGUGGAAUGCGCAGAUAUCAGGAGGAACACCGGUGGCGAAGGCGGGUCUCUGGGCAGUAACUGACGCUGAGGAGCGAAAGCGUGGGGAGCGAACAGGAUUAGAUACCCUGGUAGUCCACGCCGUAAACGGUGGGUACUAGGUGUGGGUUUCCUUCCUUGGGAUCCGUGCCGUAGCUAACGCAUUAAGUACCCCGCCUGGGGAGUACGGCCGCAAGGCUAAAACUCAAAGGAAUUGACGGGGGCCCGCACAAGCGGCGGAGCAUGUGGAUUAAUUCGAUGCAACGCGAAGAACCUUACCUGGGUUUGACAUGCACAGGACGCGUCUAGAGAUAGGCGUUCCCUUGUGGCCUGUGUGCAGGUGGUGCAUGGCUGUCGUCAGCUCGUGUCGUGAGAUGUUGGGUUAAGUCCCGCAACGAGCGCAACCCUUGUCUCAUGUUGCCAGCGGGUAAUGCCGGGGACUCGUGAGAGACUGCCGGGGUCAACUCGGAGGAAGGUGGGGAUGACGUCAAGUCAUCAUGCCCCUUAUGUCCAGGGCUUCACACAUGCUACAAUGGCCGGUACAAAGGGCUGCGAUGCCGCAAGGUUAAGCGAAUCCUUUUAAAGCCGGUCUCAGUUCGGAUUGGGGUCUGCAACUCGACCCCAUGAAGUCGGAGUCGCUAGUAAUCGCAGAUCAGCAACGCUGCGGUGAAUACGUUCCCGGGCCUUGUACACACCGCCCGUCACGUCAUGAAAGUCGGUAACACCCGAAGCCAGUGGCCUAACCCUUGG
rnacentral:rRNA from 1 species